AGCUGCUCUAAAGGUGGUGAGUUAUCUCACUUGAUUGUUCACAGUCAGUUACAGAUUGGACUCCUUGUUCUACUAUUUUUUCCCCUUCUCAUCACUAUACUUUACUAAUCUUAA
rnacentral:Y_RNA from 1 species